rnacentral:misc_RNA from 1 species
GUAAUUUACUCUUUUCAUUUUUAUUAAAAGAUCAAAAUAUAUUCUUUAAUUAAAGUUAAUAUUUAAAAUAAAGUUUAAUAAAUUUACCUAUCCUCCCAACAAAAUAUUAAUACUCAAUAAUCAAAUUAUAAUUAAAAUAUUAAUAUAAAAUUCUAUAGGGUCUUAUCAUCCCAUAAAUUAAUUUUAGCAUUUUAACUAAAAAUUUAAAUUAAUUUAAUAUAUAUGAGACAGUGUAUAUCUCAUUAACUCUUUCAUUCCAGUUUUUAAUUAAAAAACAAUUGAUUAUGCUACCUUUGUACAGUAAUUUACUCUUUUCAUUUUUAUUAAAAGAUCAAAAUAUAUUCUUUAAUUAAAGUUAAUAUUUAAAAUAAAGUUUAAUAAAUUUACCUAUCCUCCCAACAAAAUAUUAAUACUCAAUAAUCAAAUUAUAAUUAAAAUAUUAAUAUAAAAUUCUAUAGGGUCUUAUCAUCCCAUAAAUUAAUUUUAGCAUUUUAACUAAAAAUUUAAAUUAAUUUAAUAUAUAUGAGACAGUGUAUAUCUCAUUAACUCUUUCAUUCCAUUUUCAAUUAAAAAACAAUUGAUUAUGCUACCUUUGUACAGUCAAUUAUACCGCAGCCAUUUAAUUCUUUAAAAUCAUUGGGCAGAAUUGACUUAAAAUUAUU